GACAGAGGGUGAUAGUCCCGUACACGAAGAGGCAUGAGCUGUGAGUUCGACGAGUAGGGCGGGACACGUGUUAUCCUGUCUGAAUAUGGGGGGACCAUCCUCCAAGGCUAAAUACUCCUGACUGACCGAUAGUGAACCAGUACCGUGAGGGAAAGGCGAAAAGAACCCCGGCGAGGGGAGUGAAAUAGAACCUGAAACCGUGUACGUACAAGCAGUGGGAGCAUCCUUCGGGGUGUGACUGCGUACCUUUUGUAUAAUGGGUCAGCGACUUAUAUUCUGUAGCAAGGUUAACCGCAUAGGGGAGCCGCAGGGAAACCGAGUCUUAACUGGGCGUUAAGUUGCAGGGUAUAGACCCGAAACCCGGUGAUCUAGCCAUGGGCAGGUUGAAGGUUGGGUAACACUAACUGGAGGACCGAACCGACUAAUGUUGAAAAAUUAGCGGAUGACUUGUGGCUGGGGGUGAAAGGCCAAUCAAACCGGGAGAUAGCUGGUUCUCCCCGAAAGCUAUUUAGGUAGCGCCUCGUGAAUUCAUCUUCGGGGGUAGAGCACUGUUUCGACUAGGGGGCCAUCCCGGCUUACCAACUCGAUGCAAACUGCGAAUACCGAAGAAUGUUAUCACGGGAGACACACGGCGGGUGCUAACGUCCGUCGUGAAGAGGGAAACAACCCAGACCGCCAGCUAAGGUCCCAAAGUCAUGGUUAAGUGGGAAACGAUGUGGGAAGGCCCAGACAGCCAGGAUGUUGGCUUAGAAGCAGCCAUCAUUUAAAGAAAGCGUAAUAGCUCACUGGUCGAGUCGGCCUGCGCGGAAGAUGUAACGGGGCUAAACCAUGCACCGAAGCUGCGGCAGCGACGC
rnacentral:rRNA from 1 species